GGGAUAUGAUGAGUGGUUGGCUAUCGCAAAUGAAUGCGAUAUGGGUGUCCGCCCCAAAGCCUGGUUACGACAAUUGGGCACUCCUAAUAUUUCCAAUCUGAUCCC